AGGGUGGAGUGCAGGCUUGGAAAGCAGGAGAGCUCAGCCUACGUCUUUAAUCCUCCUGCCCACCCCUUGGAUUCUGUCUCCACUGGGACUCAAGAGAGGAACCUGGGGCCCGCUCCUCCCCCCUCCAGGCCAUGAGGAUUCUGCAGUUAAUCCUGCUUGCUCUGGCAACAGGGCUUGUAGGGGGAGAGACCAGGAUCAUCAAGGGGUUCGAGUGCAAGCCUCACUCCCAGCCCUGGCAGGCAGCCCUGUUCGAGAAGACGCGGCUACUCUGUGGGGCGACGCUCAUCGCCCCCAGAUGGCUCCUGACAGCAGCCCACUGCCUCAAGCCGUGGCCGCUACAUAGUUCACCUGGGGCAGCACAACCUCCAGAAGGAGGAGGGCUGUGAGCAGACCCGGACAGCCACUGAGUCCUUCCCCCAC
rnacentral:lncRNA from 10 species